rnacentral:rRNA from 1 species
UACGUAGGGCGCAAGCGUUAUCCGGAAUUAUUGGGCGUAAAGAGCUCGUAGGCGGUUUGUCGCGUCUGCUGUGAAAACUCGGGGCUUAACUCCGGGCCUGCAGUGGGUACGGGCAGACUAGAGUGCGGUAGGGGAGACUGGAAUUCCUGGUGUAGCGGUGAAAUGCGCAGAUAUCAGGAGGAACACCGGUGGCGAAGGCGGGUCUCUGGGCCGUAACUGACGCUGAGGAGCGAAAGCGUGGGGAGCGAACAGG